GAUGAACGCUAGCGGCAGGCCUAACACAUGCAAGUCGAGGGGUAGAAGGAGCUUGCUCCUUUGAGACCGGCGCACGGGUGCGUAACGCGUAUGCAAUCUACCUUGUACAGGGGAAUAGCCCAGAGAAAUUUGGAUUAAUGCCCCAUAGUAUAUAACCUUCGCAUGUUGGUUAUAUUAAAGUUCCAACGGUACAAGAUGAGCAUGCGUCCCAUUAGUUAGUUGGUAAGGUAACGGCUUACCAAGACGAUGAUGGGUAGGGGUCCUGAGAGGGAGAUCCCCCGCACUGGAGCUGAGACACGGACCAGACUCCUACGGGAGGCAGCAGUGAGGAAUAUUGGUCAGUGGUCGCAAGACUGAACCAGCCAUGCCGCGUGCAGGAAGACGGUCCUAUGGAUUGUAAACUGCUUUUAUACAGGAAGAAACCCUCCCACGUGUGGGAGCUUGACGGUACUGUAGGAAUAAGGAUCGGCUAACUCCGUG
rnacentral:rRNA from 1 species